rnacentral:rRNA from 1 species
CCUACGGGAGGCAGCAGUGGGGAAUAUUGCACAAUGGGGGAAACCCUGAUGCAGCGACGCCGCGUGAGGGAAGAAGUAUUUCAGUAUGUAAAGCUCUAUCAGCAGGGAAGAAGAAAGACGGUACCUGACUAAAAAGCCCCGGCUAACUACGUGCCAGCAGCCGCGGUAAUACGUAGGGGGCAAGCGUUAUCCGGAUUUACUGGGCGUAAAGGGAGCGUAGACGGCGGUGCAAGUCUGAAGUGAAAGCCCAGGGCUCAACCCUGGGACUGCCUUGGAAACUGUGGAGCUAGAGUGCUGGAGAGGUAAGUGGAAUUCCUAGUGUAGCGGUGAAAUGCGUAGAUAUUAGGAGGAACACCAGUGGCGAAGGCGACUUACUGGACAGUAACUGACGUUGAGGCUCGAAAGCGUGGGGAGCAAACAGGAUUAGAUACCCGAGUAGUC